AACAGGAUUAGAUACCCUGGUAGUCCACGCCGUAAACGAUGUCGACUUGGAGGUUGUGCCCUUGAGGCGUGGCUUCCGGAGCUAACGCGUUAAGUCGACCGCCUGGGGAGUACGGCCGCAAGGUUAAAACUCAAAUGAAUUGACGGGGGCCCGCACAAGCGGUGGAGCAUGUGGUUUAAUUCGAUGCAACGCGAAGAACCUUACCUGGUCUUGACAUCCACGGAAUUUGGCAGAGAUGCCUUAGUGCCUUCGGGAACCGUGAGACAGGUGCUGCAUGGCUGUCGUCAGCUCGUGUUGUGAAAUGUUGGGUUAAGUCCCGCAACGAGCGCAACCCUUAUCCUUUGUUGCCAGCGGUCCGGCCGGGAACUCAAAGGAGACUGCCAGUGAUAAACUGGAGGAAGGUGGGGAUGACGUCAAGUCAUCAUGGCCCUUACGACCAGGGCUACACACGUGCUACAAUGGCAUAUACAAAGAGAAGCGACCUCGCGAGAGCAAGCGGACCUCAUAAAGUGCGUCGUAGUCCGGAUUGGAGUCUGCAACUCGACUCCAUGAAGUCGGAAUCGCUAGUAAUCGUAGAUCAGAAUGCUACGGUGAAUACGUUCCCGGGCCUUGUACACACCGCCCGUCACACCAUGGGAGUGGGUUGCAAAAGAAGUAGGUAGCUUAACCUUCGGGAGGGCGCUUACCACUUUGUGAUUCAUGACUGGGGUGAAGUCGUAACAAGGUAACC
rnacentral:rRNA from 1 species